rnacentral:rRNA from 1 species
GACGAACCGUGCGAACGUUAUUCGGAAUCACUGGGCUUAAAGCGCUUGUAGGCGGCCCGGCACGUCCGUCGCUGAAAUCCCCCGGCUCAACCGGGGAAGGGGCGCGGAUACGACCGGGCUGGAGGGGGGUAGGGGAAUCGGGAACUUCCGGUGGAGCGGUGAAAUGCGUUGAGAUUGGAAGGAACGCCCGCGGCGAAAGCGCGGUUCUGGACCCCACCUGACGCUGAGACGCGAAAGCCAGGGGAGCGAACGGG